AUACAGAGGGUGCGAGCGUUAAUCGGAAUGACUGGGCGUAAAGAGCGUGUAGGUGGAUGUUCAAGUCAGAGGUGAAAUCCCCGGGCUCAACCUGGGAACUGCCUCUGAAACUGUGUAUCUAGAGUAUGGGAGAGGGAAGUGGAAUUUCCGGUGUAGCGGUGAAAUGCGUAGAUAUCGGAAGGAACACCAGUGGCGAAGGCGGCUUCCUGGCCUAAUACUGACACUGAGACGCGAAAGCGUGGGUAGCGAACAGGAUUAGAUACCCCAGUAGUCC
rnacentral:rRNA from 1 species